rnacentral:rRNA from 1 species
CCUAAGGAGGAAGAUUUGACGUUACUUAGGAGACGAAGCAUCGGCUAACUCCGUGCCAGCAGCCGCGGUAAGACGGAGGAUGCAAGUGUUAUCCGGAAUUACUGGGCGUAAAGCGUCUGCAGGUGGUUUUUUAAGUCCACUGUUAAACCUUGAGGCUCAACCUCAAAUCAGCAUUGGAAACUGGGAAACUUGAGUAUAGUAGGGGUAGAGGGAAUUUCCAGUGGAGCGGUGAAAUGCGUAGAUAUUGG